AUUGAACGCUGGCGGCAUGCCUUACACAUGCAAGUCGAACGGCAGCACGGGAGCAAUCCUGGUGGUGAGUGGCGAACGGGUGAGUAAAGUAUCGGAACGUGCCCAGUCGUGGGGGAUAACGUAGCGAAAGUUACGCUAAUACCGCAUACGAUCUAUGGAUGAAAGCGGGGGAUCGCAAGACCUCGCGCGAUUGGAGCGGCCGAUAUCAGAUUAGGUAGUUGGUGGGGUAAAGGCCCACCAAGCCGACGAUCUGUAGCUGGUCUGAGAGGACGACCAGCCACACUGGGACGGAGACACGGCCCAGACUCCUACGGGAGGCAGCAGUGGGGAAUUUUGGAAAAUGGGCGAAAGCCUGAUCCAGCCAUGCCGCGUGCAGGAUGAAGGCCUUCGGGUUGUAAACUGCUUUUGUACGGAACGAAAAGGACUGCCCUAAUACGGUGGUCCCAUGACGGCACCGUAAGAAUAAGCACCGGCUAACUACGUGCCAGCCGCCGCAGUAA
rnacentral:rRNA from 1 species